rnacentral:rRNA from 1 species
AUGAACGCUAGCGACAGGCUUAACACAUGCAAGUCGAGGGGCAGCGGGGGUAGCGAUACCCGCCGGCGACCGGCGCACGGGUGAGUAACGCGUAUGCAACUUGCCUAUCAGAGGGGGAUAACCCGGCGAAAGUCGGACUAAUACCGCAUGAAGCAGGGGCCCCGCAUGGGGGUAUUUGCUAAAGAUUCAUCGCUGAUAGAUAGGCAUGCGUUCCAUUAGGCAGUUGGCGGGGUAACGGCCCACCAAACCGACGAUGGAUAGGGGUUCUGAGAGGAAGGUCCCCCACAUUGGUACUGAGACACGGACCAAACUCCUACGGGAGGCAGCAGUGAGGAAUAUUGGUCAAUGGCCGAGAGGCUGAACCAGCCAAGUCGCGUGAGGGAUGAAGGUUCUAUGGAUCGUAAACCUCUUUUAUAAGGGAAUAAAGUGCGGGACGUGUCCCGUUUUGUAUGUACCUUAUGAAUAAGGAUCGGCUAACUCCGUGCCAGCAGCCGCGGUAAUACGGAGGAUCCGAGCGUUAUCCGGAUUUAUUGGGUUUAAAGGGUGCGUAGGCGGCCUUUUAAGUCAGCGGUGAAAGUCUGUGGCUCAACCAUAGAAUUGCCGUUGAAACUGGGGGGCUUGAGUAUGUUUGAGGCAGGCGGAAUGCGUGGUGUAGCGGUGAAAUGCUUAGAUAUCACGCAGAACCCCGAUUGCGAAGGCAGCCUGCCAAGCCAUUACUGACGCUGAUGCACGAAAGCGUGGGGAUCAAACAGGAUUAGAUACCCUGGUAGUCCACGCAGUAAACGAUGAUCACUAGCUGUUUGCGAUACAUUGUAAGCGGCACAGCGAAAGCGUUAAGUGAUCCACCUGGGGAGUACGCCGGCAACGGUGAAACUCAAAGGAAUUGACGGGGGCCCGCACAAGCGGAGGAACAUGUGGUUUAAUUCGAUGAUACGCGAGGAACCUUACCCGGGUUUGAACGCAUUCGGACCGAGGUGGAAACACCUUUUCUAGCAAUAGCCGUUUGCGAGGUGCUGCAUGGUUGUCGUCAGCUCGUGCCGUGAGGUGUCGGCUUAAGUGCCAUAACGAGCGCAACCCUUGCCACUAGUUACUAACAGGUAAAGCUGAGGACUCUGGUGGGACUGCCAGCGUAAGCUGCGAGGAAGGCGGGGAUGACGUCAAAUCAGCACGGCCCUUACAUCCGGGGCGACACACGUGUUACAAUGGCGUGGACAAAGGGAAGCCACCUGGCGACAGGGAGCGAAUCCCCAAACCACGUCUCAGUUCGGAUCGGAGUCUGCAACCCGACUCCGUGAAGCUGGAUUCGCUAGUAAUCGCGCAUCAGCCAUGGCGCGGUGAAUACGUUCCCGGGCCUUGUACACACCGCCCGUCAAGCCAUGGGAGCCGGGGGUACCUGAAGUCCGUAACCGAAAGGAUCGGCCUAGGGUAAAACUGGUGACUGGGGCU